rnacentral:lncRNA from 1 species
UGUUAAUGGUAUCAUCAUUCUGUAAAAAGUUAAUCAAAAUCGGUGUUUUUUAAUUGGGUAAUUUUUGUAGACCGUGGGGCCUCUCAAAAUGCGGGGCUGGAUUCCAGCAAAUGCGCUGAACCUGCCUUGCACUGGCCCUGUUUCAACAUAUACUUUUUUAUAGUAUAUGCUUUCCUCAUUAUGUCACCAUAAUUUGUUUUACAAAAUCAAUUCAAAAUUUGAACAAAUUGAAAAUUCAUACAACAAAAAUCAUUUAUAUUAUUUUCACAUUAUUAUUUAUUAUUUGUUUCAUAUUCGAAUGUUUAAUCCUGGAGAAAGUUUUUGUUAUGGAAGAUGAUUAUAUGAGUAAAUAUCUUUUUCCAAAGAGGGACUAUUCCAUUAAUAUUGAAUAUUUAUUUGACUUCAUUAAUUAUUUUUUGAAGUUUAAUUGAAAAUGGUAUAACUUCUGCAGAAAUCUGCAUUUGCUUUUUUCAGUAACUAUAACUUUGGUACUUCAGUAACUCAGAAUCUUACAAGGAGACCCCGCGAGUUGGUGGGCGCGGAUAUGAGUGGGGCUUGUGUGGUUCGUGGAGAGGGCAGAUCGG